rnacentral:rRNA from 1 species
GUCUACGGCCAUACCUAGAUCAGUUCCCGUCGAUCACUGCAGUUAAGUGAAAACGUCUGAUGGCCUCGUUUGUACUAUGGUUGGAGACAACAUGGGAAUCUGGGGUGCUGUAGGCU